GCCUGGGUGGCUCAGUCGGUUGAGCGUCUGACUCCGGCUCAAGUCAUGAUCUGGUGGUUGUGGGUUUGAGUCCCGCAUCGGGCU
rnacentral:tRNA from 1 species